rnacentral:lncRNA from 1 species
ACAGGGGGAAAACUGAGGCACAGGUGGUAGAAAGGAUCAGUGUUUCAGCUGGCAGUAAAAGGCAGCAAAAAGGAAAUUGAAGAAAACAGAAGGAAGAAACCACAGAACUAACGUUAAUGGACACAGGAAAUCAAGGAAAAGGAAUAGAAUUUCUGCUGCACCACUGGAUGGAUUCUUCACCAGAUAGGAGUAUGCAUGUGCUCAUCAAGGUCAAUCCCAAGCAUGCAGUUUAUCCAAUAAAAUAUAUCACCCACAAAAAUCCUUGCCUCUCACAGAUAUCCUACACAUCAGAAUUGCUGACCUGAACCAGAAAGAUAGGGGGAUGUAAAGGCUCAAUCUUGGAAUAUACUGAGCAGCUGCCAUUUAAGUCAAUGGGAUGUAACAAUGCUCCUCAUGUCCAGAGAUUGAUCAACUCCUUGCAG